rnacentral:rRNA from 1 species
ACAAGCAGUGGGAGCACGCUUCGGCGUGUGACUGCGUACCUUUUGUAUAAUGGGUCAGCGACUUAUAUUCUGUAGCACGGUUAACCGAAUAGGGGAGCCGAAGGGAAACCGAGUCUUAACUGGGCGUUAAGUUGCAGGGUAUAGACCCGAAACCCGGUGAUCUAGCCAUGGGCAGGUUGAAGGUUGGGUAACACUAACUGGAGGACCGAACCGACUAAUGUUGAAAAAUUAGCGGAUGACUUGUGGCUGGGGGUGAAAGGCCAAUCAAACCGGGAGAUAGCUGGUUCUCCCCGAAAGCUAUUUAGGUAGCGCCUCGUGAAUUCAUCUCCGGGGGUAGAGCACUGUUUCGGCAAGGGGGUCAUCCCGACUUACCAACCCGAUGCAAACUGCGAAUACCGGAGAAUGUUAUUACGGGAGACACACGGCGGGUGCUAACGUCCGUCGUGAAGAGGGAAACAACCCAGACCGCCAGCUAAGGUCCCAAAGUCAUGGUUAAGUGGGAAACGAUGUGGGAAGGCCCAGACAGCCAGGAUGUUGGCUUAGAAGCAGCCAUCAUUUAAAGAAAGCGUAAUAGCUCACUGGUCGAGUCGGCCUGCGCGGAAGAUGUAACGGGGCUAAACCAUGCACCGAAGCUGCGGCAGCGACACUAUGUGUUGUUGGGUAGGGGAGCGUUCUGUAAGCCUGUGAAGGUGUGCUGUGAGGCAUGCUGGAGGUAUCAGAAGUGCGAAUGCUGACAUAAGUAACGAUAAAGCGGGUGAAAAGCCCGCUCGCCGGAAGACC